UGCAGUACCCUGUGGCGGGUGCGAACCCCCGCCCGGCAGUGGCGGGGGCUGCUCCCAGCUUCUGGCUGUCGCGGACCUGCCGCCUCCUCCUACUCCGCAUCCGCCGAGCCUGCCCGGGUCCGGGCGCUUGUCUAUGGGCACCACGGGGAUCCAGCCAAGGUCGUCGAAGGUAUAACCAGGGAAUUGUUUCAGAGGUUUCCUUGGAUAUUCCUACAACUGAUAACAGCUGUCAUUUCUUCAGCAUCUACUGUAACCGUAAUUCCUGGGCACACAUGGCAGCUCAGAAAUGUUGCCUGACCUACUUUGAGGAGAUGAUUUGAGCGAAACACCCAUUCUAGCCUGGAUGACAUGAACAUCUCCGUUUGGCUUUGUGCUUAGACUCAAGAACCUGGAGCUAGCUGCUGUGGGAGGAUCAGAUGUCCGUGUGAAGAUGCUGGCGGCCCCUAUCAAUCCAUCUGACAUAAAUAUGAUCCAAGGAAACUACGGACUCCUUCCUGAACUGCCUGCUGUUGGAGGGAACGAAGGUGUUGCACAGGUGGUAGCGGUGGGCAGCAAUGUGACCGGGCUGAAGCCAGGAGACUGGGUGAUUCCAGCAAAUGCUGGUUUAGGAACCUGGCGGACCGAGGCUGUGUUCAGCGAGGAAGCACUGAUCCAAGUUCCGAGUGACAUCCCUCUUCAGAGCGCUGCCACCCUGGGUGUCAAUCCCUGCACAGCCUACAGGAUGUUGAUGGACUUCGAGCAACUGCAGCCAGGGGAUUCUGUCAUCCAGA
rnacentral:sRNA from 1 species